GUGCUUGCUUUGGUGGCACGUAUACUAAAAUUGGAACCAUACAGAGAAGAUUAGCAUGGUCUUGUGCAAGGAUGACAUAAUAUAUAUAAAAUAUAUAUGU
rnacentral:snRNA from 1 species